GAUGAACGCUGGCGGCGUGCUUAAUACGUGCAAGUCGAACGCAGAAACGAAGAGUUUGCUGCUUAGACGUUAGGCGCGGGGGGGUGAGUAACACGAGGAUCCCCUCCCCUUAUUCGUGGGAUAACUCGGAGACACGGGCGCUCAUAUGCGAUAAACUAUUGACCGGAAGGGUUCAGGAGUAAAGGGCGGUUUUGCUGUCGCAUGUGCUCGUGUCCGAGUAGCUUGUUGGAGUGGUGAAGGCUUAGCAAGGCUACGACGCGUAGCCGGGCUGAGAGGGUGAGCGGCCACACUGGAACUGAGACACGGUCAAGACUCCUACGGGAGGAAGCAGUGGGGAAUCUUGGGCAAUGGGCGAAAGCCUGACGGAGCAACGCCGCGUGGGUGAGGAAGGUCUUCGGGUCGUAAAGCUCUGUUAUUAGGGAAGAACAGAUGUGGAAGUAACUAUGGACGUCUUGACGGUACCUAAUCAAAAAGCCACGGCUAACUACGUG
rnacentral:rRNA from 1 species